UGCAUAUAUAGACAAUUAUUUGUAAAUAUAAAAUAUUAAAAGUAAACAGUUAUUUUAAAACAGAAGAAAAAAAAUAAUAGAUUUUAUCAAACCAAUGGCAAAUAAGAACAGCAAACGGGCUAGUUCAUCUCGCCUCAUUAAGGGAAGACCUACAUCUCUGAACAUUAACGAUGAACACAGGCAAUGACGCUGGAGAAGACUGCGUGUGAUGUUCACGCCAUCAUAGGGAGCCAGUAAGCUCGAUAGUGCACUGCAAUGACCAUUGACUAGGGUUAGAAUUGGCUUUUAAAAAUACAGGUGGAUAGUUGCACUACAACAUUUUUGGCCUAAGGUAACCCUUAUUCGAAGCAACAUUUAACAAAAGUUGCCUUAAAUAGGCAAAGACAACAUUUUUGACGAGUUGCCUUUGAGUAAGGCAAAGAUAACAAAAUUUUUGGUUACCCAAAAAAAAAGUUGUCUUUGAUAUCUAAAACAACAUUUACAAAAUGUUGUAAUAUAAAAAAUUUAAGACAACAAUUUUAAAUAAAAAUGCAACAUUUUAUAAAGGUUGUCAAAAAAAUUUAACAAAUAAUAUUUAUAAAAGACUACCUAAAAUUGUUCAUAAUUAAAACUUUUAGAGAAACUUUUAACCAUAUUUCUACCAAUUAUUUUUCCUAUCAAAUAACUUAAAAAAAAAACAUAUUUGUUUAUGAGUUCAUUUGAAAGAGAAUACCUAAGCCUUGAAUAACCAAGCGUCCAAGCCACCAGUAACACCCACGCACGAACCCUUCCUCUCCUUUCUCCACUGUCAGCUACUCAGCUCCAAUAAUCGACGACAUUAACGGCGACAGCAGCUCCUCCACGGCAACGGCACGGUUCUCUCCUCCACGGCGACGGUGCGGUUCUCUCCUUCACGGUGACGGUGCGGUUCUCUCCUCCACGACGACGGUGCGGUUCUCUCCUCCAUGGCGACGGUGCGGUUCUCUUCUCCACGCGGGCUUCUCCAGGGCGACGGCGCGGUGCGCUCCUCGUUCUGCGCCGAACCACCACUGGUGAGAAACCCCUCUUCCUUCUCUUCUCCUUCUUCCUCUUCUUCUCUUUUCUCGCAUCCUCUUCUUCGCGAACCGGAGAUUCAUGUAGAACCGUAGCAACCUCUGUUCCGCUGGCGAGCUUUGACGCAACACGGCGACUACCCCUCUGCUGGUCUAUUGCUCUGGCAACACGGCGACCACCCCUCAACUGUAACCUCCUCACCACUGCCUUCUUGUUACUCUGUUCUUCAAUUUCCAGUUGUCUUGUAGGGAAAUGCUAAUGUAAUAUGUGGUGUAGCUUGGGAAUUCUGGCCGCUGGAGCAUAUGGCUUGCCUCAAUUUCGACUGCGAGUGUUUUAAUGGGGUAUUAAACCUUCUGAGGUAUUCUAAUGUUUUUGAGCUUAACAUUGGCUCAGAAUUAAGAUGUGGUGGAACAUUUCUUCAAAAAUGGAACAAAUCGAUGAAGAUGUCGUUUCAGAACGCUGUUGAUCAAGUUCGGUACCUUUUCCCACAUCUAAAUCUCGAUUCUGUUGGGUUGGAUCAUCGCAAAGUUGUAAAGGAAGGUAAAGCAAUGUGCGGAAAUGUCACGGAAGCUACGAUUCUUCAAGGAUCAAAUCAAUAAAGCUGACAUAGUGUCUUCUCAUGCUGCAUUGCAAUAAGGCUCUAUCAGACUGGACGAACAUGAUGAAGAGCUCACAGAAAUAGUUGAGAUUGUGAAGAGAACAUUGCCACCACCCCCUGAAGAUGCCAAUGGUUCUGAAGCAACAAAAUCAAAUGGUGGGGAAGGUGGGAAACAAAUAAAAACAAGUUGAUAUCCUACUUGUGACCAUAGAAUUUUGUGAAUAGCACCAUAGGAUCUCAAGAAAGUAGUUCGGUUAUAGUUUUCUAUUAGUUGGUAUGCUGAGAUUUAGAAUUAGGUUCCUUUUUCAAGGGGUGUAGGUGUGUUGAUUACUGCCUUAUUGGUGAUGAAAUACACAUGCAAGGUGCAUUGCCAAAUUUGCAAUAUCGCACAGCAGGAAAAAUAUGUAUUUUGUUACUUAUGUUUAUUUAUUUGACUUCGUAACUUA